rnacentral:lncRNA from 1 species
AUUUAAUAAAUGAAAUAAUGUUAAUAAUCUACUUUUAUUUUUUUCAGCAUUCCUCUUGCUGAUGACACGAUUCCUGUUUGAAUCAGUUUACAAGAUUCUGAAAGCUGAACAGGGAUUUGUGGUACUGUACUGGGAAAGAAAAAGCAUUGCAAGAAGUAGAUAAUAUCAAGGACACCAGGAGUGGGAGAGAUUGGACUGGAAGACUCAACAGGUCAGAAAACUGGCAUUUUUAUUUGUUGGUUUUUAUUUUGGCAUACAUUCCACAGUUCUUAAAUCUCUUGCAAGUAGUAUUUCUUAUAUGUGCUUACUUGGGAUGUCUGGAAUUUGGCAAAACGUGACUCACACUCUUAUAUCAUAAGUCCAGCCUUUGGGUAUCCUCU